CUAAAGAGCGUGUACAAUCCCGUUCUUUAAAUACGUUGCGUGUUUAAAUCAAAAUGUUCCAAACUCUCUUGCUCUGAGUGAAUGUGGACGGCAUCCGUUACAUUUAACGUGUAUGUCGCGUUGUGUUAAGUAUUGGGCAAAGCUGACUCGAAUGGAAGACCAAAGGUAUCAGAAAAACUGUUACCUGAUGCUACGUAACUUAGGACCCGACGCCAAGACGACGUGGGUCACCGGAGUGAAACAAUUUCUGUUUGAAAAUGGCUUCGGGUUUGCUUGGAUAGCCGGUGAAAUUGGAAAUGCUUUUAUGAAACUCUAUAAAAGGAGACUUAGAGACUGUACUCUCCAAAGGAUGCAGGAUUUUAUCAAUACAUCACCAAAAGCACUACAUUAUAAAUAUUUCAAAACUCUCCUGAAUACCGAGAGAUACCAAAGCAUGGAUUUACCUUAUAUUUUAAAAAGGACGUUAUCGAAUGUUCGUUGUUCAGGCCACGAACAACAAAUUGAAAAGGGACGUCAUAUGAAUAUACAUAGAGAAUAUAGAUAUUGUUACUUUUGUUUAAAACGCAAUGAUUAUGUAAUUGAAGACGAAUUCCAUGUUGUUUUAGUGUGCCCACUAUAUGAUGCGAUCAGACAUAAAUAUUUUAUGGGCAUUAUGGGAAACCAUUAUAUAACUUUAAAUCUGUUGUAUACAAUGAUGUCGGAAUAUGACAGAAAGAGUUGACCGCACGGAUGCCUAUUCUGCACGUGAACGAUACAGUUGAACGAGGACCUGAUUGGAUGUGGCCGAAUCAGGACGGAAAUGGUCCGGGCACAGUCACGGGAAUCCCUAUGGCCGGCUGGGUUAAUGUGAUAUGGGACAACACCGG